GGAUGAAAAGCAGCGCACCACAUCAGUGACAUCGCAGACUCUGGAGGAAUUGUACCUGUCUGACACAACAGCUGAGGUCGAAGUGGUGAAAGGCCAUAGACAGUACUUCAUCAGCUUCAAAGACAUGUACCAGAGGAACCCCAAACACAACACCAAGAGGAAAGUUCAUCGUCGCCCGCGCUUCGUGUCUGUAGCCGAGGUGCAGAACCAGGCCGCUCAGCAGAGAAACCUUGAACUGAUGUGGCCCUGGUCUGAACAGUCUGGAUCUGAUUGAGUGCCUUACCUUGAUAUACCUGGGAUUAUUUCUGUGUCAGAAUCAGCUUUAUUUCCAUGUGGUUUAAACAAACGAGGAACUUGCUUUGGUGUUUGGCAGCAGUUAGAAAAAUGUUAGAAAGGUAACCUUCGGUUCCCUCCGCCGACUUCCCUCCUUCACUGUGAAAACAGACGACUCUGUUACUGUAGACAGCGGCGUGUCAGUCAGUCCACCACUUUGGUUCAGACCAAAAUAUCUAAACUAAACUAUUGACUGGAUGGAAUAUUAUGAUAUGUGGUUCGGACGUUCAUGGUCCUCAGAGGAUGAAUCCUAAUCACAUGACUAUAUCUGGUGCCACCGACACCAACAAGAUACUCAAACCAAUUUCCAGAUUCUCGCUGUGCUAACAUUAGCAUCUUGUCUUAGCUAAAUUUGGCUAGCUUUAAUGGUCACAUGCAACAUAACAUGCUAAAACAUACUAGCAUAAUAACAUGCUAACUGCUUUUGUUUAUCUUUAGAGGACAGUGCACUCCAAUGUAAAUGUGCUGCAGGUAACAGCUAAUGUGCACUCAAGUCCCGACACAGCUAAAACAUUAAAGGCCCCGUGAGAGCCCGUAUAAAAGAAAUGGACGUAGCCGCCAUGACGUCCCACCGUUGGUUUGUGGACCACCGUUUUGAAGCCUCUAGUUCGGCAUUUUGGCAGUCGCCAUCUUGUUUUCGUGGAACCAGACAUGACCAUAUUUGGACAAGAGGGUGGAGCUAGCUAGCUUGGUUAGCUAGGUGCAUCUGCAAUUCAUGUUAAUUGUGAUAUUAGCUGGGAUGCUAAUUUUGGCUAGUGACAACCAGGCUUAAAACAAAACGUACUUCCUGGAAAAAUGACCAACGAUGAUGAAACUAGCGACUGAGAACAUAAACUCAUUAGGAAAGUGUUACCGAGGUAAUGAAUCAGCUGAGAAGUAGAAACAUUUUCUCAUAGACUUCUAUACAGCCGCCCCCUGCUGGCUGAUGGAGAGAAUGCAGGUUUAACUUACUUCAGCACUGGCUUCACUUUUUUAAACUCAGAGGUUCAUGCUUGCAAAAAAUGGUACUGUAACUCCACAUCUGUUAACCGCAAUGCAAACAUUAGCUAAUGUUAACAUGCUAAUGCUGCUAGCUAUUGUUUACAUACCUGUCGAGUCAGGUUUGUUCCGAGGCCGGACAUUGAGUUAUUAGCGUUGAGUCUGAAGGAGGUUAAACCUGCCAUUAAAAACAGACACGUUUAAAGAUGUUACUGUUUGCUUUUUAAAUGUGUGUAUUUAGUGGUUUAAGGACUGUUUUUCAUUCUGUGGGUGCGAUAAAGACUUUUCAUGUUGAUGUUUAUGUUCAUGACUAAGUUAGUUUAUGUUGAGGAUUUCUUUAUGUGGACUAACGCAGCAACAUUAAAUAACCAACCCUGACAAGCAGCACAUUCAGUCGGUCUCUUUGAGCGGUGGAUGUCUCUUACAUGUUUUUCAACAGCAGAAAUAUUUGUAUUGGAUCUGUCGCUCUCUUUGCAUCUGAAUAAACUUUCUGAGUAAGA